UGGGGAAUCUUGCGCAAUGGGGGAAACCCUGACGCAGCGACGCCGCGUGCGGGAUGAAGGCCUUCGGGUUGUAAACCGCUUUCAGCAGGGACGAGGCCUUAUGGUGACGGUACCUGCAGAAGAAGCUCCGGCUAAAUACGUGCCAGCAGCCGCGGUAAUACGUAUGGAGCAAGCGUUAUCCGGAUUCAUUGGGCGUAAAGCGCUCGUAGGCGGUCUGUUAGGUCGGCAAGUUAAAUCCGGGGGCUCAACCCCCGUCCGCUUCCGAUACCGGCAGACUUGAGUGUGGUAGGGGAAGGUGGAAUUCCUAGUGUAGCGGUGGAAUGCGCAGAUAUUAGGAAGAAAACCGGUGGCGAAGGCGGCCUUCUGGGCCAUAACUGACGCUGAGGAGCGAAAGCUAGGGGAGCGAACAGG
rnacentral:rRNA from 1 species